AGGGACCCAACGACUAGUAGACAUCGUUUACGGCGUGGACUACCAGGGUAUCUAAUCCUGUUUGCUACCCACGCUUUCGAGCCUCAGUGUCAGUAUGAUGCCAGAAGGCUGCCUUCGCCAUCGGUAUUCCUCCAGAUCUCUACGCAUUUCACCGCUACACCUGGAAUUCUACCUUCCUCUCACCUACUCUAGCCUAACAGUUUCAGAUGCAGUUCCCAGGUUAAGCCCGGGGAUUUCACAUCUGACUUAUCAAGCCACCUACGCUCGCUUUACGCCCAGUAAUUCCGAUUAACGCUUGCACCCUCUGUAUUACCGCGGCUGCUGGCACAGAGUUAGCCGGUGCUUAUUCUGCAGCUAAUGUCAUCGUCCACGGGUAUUAACCGAGGAGUCUUCUUCACUGCUUAAAGUGCUUUACAACCAAAAGGCCUUCUUCACACACGCGGCAUGGCUGGAUCAGGGUUUCCCCCAUUGUCCAAUAUUCCCCACUGCUGCCUCCCGUAGGAGUCCGGGCCGUGUCUCAGUCCCGGUGUGGCUGAUCAUCCUCUCAGACCAGCUACAGAUCGUCGCCAUGGUAGGCCUUUACCCCACCAUCUAGCUAAUCCGACUUAGGCUCAUCUAAUAGCGAGAGCAGUAAACUGCCCCCUUUCUCCCGUAGGUCGUAUGCGGUAUUAAUUCGAGUUUCCCCGAGCUAUCCCCCACUACUAGGUAGAUUCCUAAGUAUUACUCACCCGUCCGCCGCUCGACGCCUACCAGCAAGCUGGUAUCGUUUCCGCUCGACUUGCAUGUGUUAAGCCUGCCGCCAGCGUUCAAUCUGAGCCAGGAUCAAACUCU
rnacentral:rRNA from 1 species